rnacentral:lncRNA from 1 species
CUCUGGGGAGGGCUCUGGGCAGAGGCAGUGACUCAGGGAGGAAGGCACUGAGUGGCUUACUCCACAGCAUGGGCUGACUAGUCAAAAGGUGAUGGCGAGGGGCUGGCUGGACAGUUAUCCUGGGCAAAGGGGCCUGCACCUUCAUUCAUGAGGAAACAGGGAGAACUGAGCCAUCAACAAGCAGGCAGAUGUUGGCUUUUGAAAAGAGAACUCCCCCAGAUAUAACCUACAGACUUGUCCGCGGGUGUGGGUGGGGCUGAGUCUGCAUUUCUACCCAGGUCCCUACCAAGGUGACGCUGACGGAGCGUUCUGUGUGUGCUGGUGAGGACGCAGCCACUCUGGAGGGCGAGGAUGGCCUGGGGGCAGCAAGGCUGGCAAGGAGCUGACCGCAGGCCCUGUUGGGAUGGAGGGAGGUAACUCAGCGCUGGGCCUCAGUGGAAACUCCAUCAUGACCUUCCGAUUUGGGAGGCAGGUCAGAGGAAGUGGUCAGACCUGCGCCAGACAUGGGUCCCUUCUGAUGAAACACUUGGGAAACAAACAAUGGAAGGAAAAAUUACCCGUAAUUGCACAGCGCAGAGAUAAACACCGCUCGCUUCGGAGACGGCGUCUUCUCUCCUUCUGCCGCCUCCCUCGCUCCCCUCUCCUCGCACAUGUAUCAAAAACAGGAUCUUCUGUGUGCCUGCUCACACACAGACACACGCGCACACUCACACGCACACACGGCUGCUCCAUCCGCGACGCUCCCCGCCUCCCCGCGGCAGCUGCAUGGCGGUUCUGUCCAUCCGUUCCCCUUGGCCUCCGUCUCUCGGGCCACAGGCUGUGCUCUCCUCUCGUCCCUCCGCCUGCAGUCUUUGAACCACUCCUGCCUCUGCGGGCCCCUCUGCAGCCCGCCCUCCUCCCAGACGGAGCGACGUGGCCAGCACCCUCCAGCGGUUCCUGUUGCUCCACCAUGAAGCCCAGGCCUGCCCUCCAGGCUUCCGGCCACCCCUGCAGCCCCUACCCUCCCACCCUCUCCGCACAGACCCUUGCUGUCUUGUGGGGCUCCUGCCAGCCCCCUCCCUCCACUGCCUUCGCUCAGCCCCUGGUCCCCACUGUACUGUACCCC